rnacentral:rRNA from 1 species
AGUGAACGCUGGCGGUAGGCCUAACACAUGCAAGUCGAACGGCAGCACAGUAAGAGCUUGCUCUUACGGGUGGCGAGUGGCGGACGGGUGAGGAAUACAUCGGAAUCUACUUUUUCGUGGGGGAUAACGUAGGGAAACUUACGCUAAUACCGCAUACGACCUACGGGUGAAAGCAGGGGAUCUUCGGACCUUGCGCGAUUGAAUGAGCCGAUGUCGGAUUAGCUAGUUGGCGGGGUAAAGGCCCACCAAGGCGACGAUCCGUAGCUGGUCUGAGAGGAUGAUCAGCCACAAUGGAACUGAGACAAGGGCCAGACUCCUAAGGGAGGCAGCAGUUGGGAAUAUUUGACAAUGGGCGCAAGCCUGAUCCAGCCAUACCGCGUGGGUGAAGAAGGCCUUCGGGUUGUAAAGCCCUUUUUUUUGGGAAGAAAAACAGGAGGUUAAAACCCCGCUGUUCUGACGGUACCCAAAGAAUAAGCACCGGCUAACUUCGUG